AUUGAACGCUGGCGGCAGGCCUAACACAUGCAAGUCGAGCGGUAGCACAGGAGAGCUUGCUCUCUGGGUGACGAGCGGCGGACGGGUGAGUAAUGUCUGGGAAACUGCCUGAUGGAGGGGGAUAACUACUGGAAACGGUAGCUAAUACCGCAUAACGUAGCAAGACCAAAGAGGGGGACCUUCGGGCCUCUUGCCAUCAGAUGUGCCCAGAUGGGAUUAGCUAGUAGGUGGGGUAAUGGCUCACCUAGGCGACGAUCCCUAGCUGGUAUGAGAGGAUGACCAGCCACACUGGAACUGAGACACGGUCCAGACUCCUACGGGAGGCAGCAGUGGGGAAUAUUGCACAAUGGGCGCAAGCCUGAUGCAGCCAUGCCGCGUGUAUGAAGAAGGCCUUCGGGUUGUAAAGUACUUUCAGCGAGGAGGAAGGCAUUGUGGUUAAUAACCACAGUGAUUGACGUUACUCGCAGAAGAAGCACCGGCUAACUCCGUGCCAGCAGCCGCGGUAAUACGGAGGGUGCAAGCGUUAAUCGGAAUUACUGGGCGUAAAGCGCACGCAGGCGGUCUGUCAAGUCGGAUGUGAAAUCCCCGGGCUCAACCUGGGAACUGCAUUCGAAACUGGCAGGCUAGAGUCUUGUAGAGGGGGGUAGAAUUCCAGGUGUAGCGGUGAAAUGCGUAGAGAUCUGGAGGAAUACCGGUGGCGAAGGCGGCCCCCUGGACAAAUGAUCUGACGCUCAGGUGCGAAAGCGU
rnacentral:rRNA from 1 species